rnacentral:rRNA from 1 species
ACGCUCGACACCUACGGGAGGGCAGCAGUGGGGAAUAUUGCACAAUGGGGGAAACCCUGAUGCAGCGACGCCGCGUGGAGGAAGAAGGUCUUCGGAUUGUAAACUCCUGUUGUUGGGGAAAAAGAGGAUGGUACCCAACAAGGAAGUGACGGCUAACUACGUGGCAGCAGCCGCGGUAAUCUGAGCGGGCUGGCAAGGC